UUUAUGGAGAGUUUGAUCCUGGCUCAGGAUGAACGCUGGCGGCGUGCCUAAUACAUGCAAGUCGAGCGAACGGACGAGAAGCUUGCUUCUCUGAUGUUAGCGGCGGACGGGUGAGUAACACGUGGAUAACCUACCUAUAAGACUGGGAUAACUUCGGGAAACCGGAGCUAAUACCGGAUAAUAUUUUGAACCGCAUGGUUCAAAAGUAAAAGACGGUCUUGCUGUCACUUAUAGAUGGAUCCGCGCUGCAUUAGCUAGUUGGUAAGGUAACGGCUUACCAAGGCAACGAUGCAUAGCCGACCUGAGAGGGUGAUCGGCCACACUGGAACUGAGACACGGUCCAGACUCCUACGGGAGGCAGCAGUAGGGAAUCUUCCGCAAUGGGCGAAAGCCUGACGGAGCAACGCCGCGUGAGUGAUGAAGGUCUUCGGAUCGUAAAACUCUGUUAUUAGGGAAGAACAUAUGUGUAAGUAACUGUGCACAUCUUGACGGUACCUAAUCAGAAAGCCACGGCUAACUACGUGCCAGCAGCCGCGGUAAUACGUAGGUGGCAAGCGUUAUCCGGAAUUAUUGGGCGUAAAGCGCGCGUAGGCGGUUUUU
rnacentral:rRNA from 1 species